AGAGUUUGAUCCUGGCUCAGGAUGAACGCUAGCUACAGGCUUAACACAUGCAAGUCGAGGGGCAGUCAGGGAUCUAGCUUGCUAGAUUUGCUGGCGACCGGCGCACGGGUGAGUAACGCGUAUCCAACCUGGCCCUUAGUAGGGGAUAGCCCGGCGAAAGUCGGAUUAAUACCCUAUGUUCUUCGUAGAGGACAUCUGAAAUGAAGCAAAGGUUUACCGCUAAGGGAUGGGGAUGCGUCUGAUUAGGUAGUCGGCGGGUAACGGCCCACCGAGCCAUCGAUCAGUAGGGGUUCUGAGAGGAAGGUCCCCCACAUUGGAACUGAGACACGGUCCAAACUCCUACGGGAGGCAGCAGUGAGGAAUAUUGGUCAAUGGUCGAGAGACUGAACCAGCCAAGUAGCGUGCAGGAUGACGGCCCUAUGGGUUGUAAACUGCUUUUAUGCGGGGAUAAAGUUCGGCACGUGUGCCGUUUUGUAGGUACCGCAUGAAUAAGGACCGGCUAAUUCCGUGCC
rnacentral:rRNA from 1 species